rnacentral:rRNA from 1 species
UACGUAGGGUGCAAGCGUUGUCCGGAUUUACUGGGCGUAAAGAGCGUGUAGGCGGCUAGGUAGGUCCGUUGUGAAAACUCGAGGCUCAACCUCGAGACGUCGAUGGAAACCAUCUAGCUAGAGUCCGGAAGAGGAGAGUGGAAUUCCUGGUGUAGCGGUGAAAUGCGCAGAUAUCAGGAAGAACACCCGUGGCGAAGGCGGCUCUCUGGUACGUGACUGACGCUGAGACGCGAAAGCGUGGGGAGCGAACAGG